rnacentral:rRNA from 1 species
CCGAAUGGGGAAACCCAGUGUGUUUCGACACACUAUCAUUAACUGAAUCCAUAGGUUAAUGAGGCGAACCGGGGGAACUGAAACAUCUAAGUACCCCGAGGAAAAGAAAUCAACCGAGAUUCCCCCAGUAGCGGCGAGCGAACGGGGAGCAGCCCAGAGCCUGAAUCAGUGUGUGUGUUAGUGGAAGCGUCUGGAAAGGCGCGCGAUACAGGGUGACAGCCCCGUACACAAAAAUGCACAUGCUGUGAGCUCGAUGAGUAGGGCGGGACACGUGGUAUCCUGUCUGAAUAUGGGGGGACCAUCCUCCAAGGCUAAAUACUCCUGACUGACCGAUAGUGAACCAGUACCGUGAGGGAAAGGCGAAAAGAACCCCGGCGAGGGGAGUGAAAAAGAACCUGAAACCGUGUACGUACAAGCAGUGGGAGCCUCUUUAUGGGGUGACUGCGUACCUUUUGUAUAAUGGGUCAGCGACUUAUAUUCUGUAGCAAGGUUAACCGAAUAGGGGAGCCGAAGGGAAACCGAGUCUUAACUGGGCGUUAAGUUGCAGGGUAUAGACCCGAAACCCGGUGAUCUAGCCAUGGGCAGGUUGAAGGUUGGGUAACACUAACUGGAGGACCGAACCGACUAAUGUUGAAAAAUUAGCGGAUGACUUGUGGCUGGGGGUGAAAGGCCAAUCAAACCGGGAGAUAGCUGGUUCUCCCCGAAAGCUAUUUAGGUAGCGCCUCGUGAACUCAUCUCCGGGGGUAGAGCACUGUUUCGGCAAGGGGGUCAUCCCGACUUACCAACCCGAUGCAAACUGCGAAUACCGGAGAAUGUUAUCACGGGAGACACACGGCGGGUGCUAACGUCCGUCGUGAAGAGGGAAACAACCCAGACCGCCAGCUAAGGUCCCAAAGUCAUGGUUAAGUGGGAAACGAUGUGGGAAGGCCCAGACAGCCAGGAUGUUGGCUUAGAAGCAGCCAUCAUUUAAAGAAAGCGUAAUAGCUCACUGGUCGAGUCGGCCUGCGCGGAAGAUGUAACGGGGCUAAACCAUGCACCGAAGCUGCGGCAGCGACGCUUAUGCGUUGUUGGGUAGGGGAGCGUUCUGUAAGCCUGUGAAGGUGUGCUGUGAGGCAUGCUGGAGGUAUCAGAAGUGCGAAUGCUGACAUAAGUAACGAUAAAGCGGGUGAAAAGCCCGCUCGCCGGAAGACCAAGGGUUCCUGUCCAACGUUAAUCGGGGCAGGGUGAGUCGACCCCUAAGGCGAGGCCGAAAGGCGUAGUCGAUGGGAAACAGGUUAAUAUUCCUGUACUUGGUGUUACUGCGAAGGGGGGACGGAGAAGGCUAUGUUGGCCGGGCGACGGUUGUCCCGGUUUAAGCGUGUAGGCUGGUUUUCCAGGCAAAUCCGGAAAAUCAAGGCUGAGGCGUGAUGACGAGGCACUACGGUGCUGAAGCAACAAAUGCCCUGCUUCCAGGAAAAGCCUCUAAGCAUCAGGUAACAUCAAAUCGUACCCCAAACCGACACAGGUGGUCAGGUAGAGAAUACCAAGGCGCUUGAGAGAACUCGGGUGAAGGAACUAGGCAAAAUGGUGCCGUAACUUCGGGAGAAGGCACGCUGAUAUGUAGGUGAAGUCCCUCGCGGAUGGAGCUGAAAUCAGUCGAAGAUACCAGCUGGCUGCAACUGUUUAUUAAAAACACAGCACUGUGCAAACACGAAAGUGGACGUAUACGGUGUGACGCCUGCCCGGUGCCGGAAGGUUAAUUGAUGGGGUCAGCGCAAGCGAAGCUCUUGAUCGAAGCCCCGGUAAACGGCGGCCGUAACUAUAACGGUCCUAAGGUAGCGAAAUUCCUUGUCGGGUAAGUUCCGACCUGCACGAAUGGCGUAAUGAUGGCCAGGCUGUCUCCACCCGAGACUCAGUGAAAUUGAACUCGCUGUGAAGAUGCAGUGUACCCGCGGCAAGACGGAAAGACCCCGUGAACCUUUACUAUAGCUUGACACUGAACAUUGAGCCUUGAUGUGUAGGAUAGGUGGGAGGCUUAGAAGUGUGGACGCCAGUCUGCAUGGAGCCGACCUUGAAAUACCACCCUUUAAUGUUUGAUGUUCUAACGUUGACCCGUAAUCCGGGUUGCGGACAGUGUCUGGUGGGUAGUUUGACUGGGGCGGUCUCCUCCUAAAGAGUAACGGAGGAGCACGAAGGUUGGCUAAUCCUGGUCGGACAUCAGGAGGUUAGUGCAAUGGCAUAAGCCAGCUUGACUGCGAGCGUGACGGCGCGAGCAGGUGCGAAAGCAGGUCAUAGUGAUCCGGUGGUUCUGAAUGGAAGGGCCAUCGCUCAACGGAUAAAAGGUACUCCGGGGAUAACAGGCUGAUACCGCCCAAGAGUUCAUAUCGACGGCGGUGUUUGGCACCUCGAUGUCGGCUCAUCACAUCCUGGGGCUGAAGUAGGUCCCAAGGGUAUGGCUGUUCGCCAUUUAAAGUGGUACGCGAGCUGGGUUUAGAACGUCGUGAGACAGUUCGGUCCCUAUCUGCCGUGGGCGCUGGAGAACUGAGGGGGGCUGCUCCUAGUACGAGAGGACCGGAGUGGACGCAUCACUGGUGUUCGGGUUGUCAUGCCAAUGGCACUGCCCGGUAGCUAAAUGCGGAAGAGAUAAGUGCUGAAAGCAUCUAAGCACGAAACUUGCCCCGAGAUGAGUUCUCCCUGACCCUUUAAGGGUCCUGAAGGAACGUUGAAGACGACGACGUUGAUAGGCCGGGUGUGUAAGCGCAGCGAUGCGUUGAGCUAACCGGUACUAAUGAACCGUGAGGCUUAACCUU